CUAGUGUAGUAAAGACAAGUAAAACGAAAUUUUGAACUACAAAAGCGAAACGAAAUAGGAUCUGUGUUGUAACCAGAUUGGUUUAAGCCAUCAUAUUUCUCCAUUCAUUGUCUAUGAAUUUGAAAACAAUGUGGCAAGGACAAUACUGUUACAAUUUACCAGUGGAUGGAAACUCACAAGAUAAUCAGACCACCCUACCUCACUCAUAAUGCAUUCAAGGUGCAUGAAUUAACACACUUUUCUAGCAACCCACCUAAUUAUAAAGGUGUGACUCAGCUAUUAACCACCUCCUAAUUAUAAAGGUGUGACUCUACCACCCACCUGCCUCUAAUUAUAAAGGCUCAACUCGGCCAUCCAGCCCCUCUAAUUAUAAAGGGUGUGGCUCGACCAUCCAGCGUCUCUAAUUAUAAAGGCUCAACUCAACCAUCCAGCAUCUCUAAUUAUAAAGGGUGUGGCUCGACCAUCCAGCGUCUCUAAUUAUAAAGGGUGUGGCUCGACCAUCCAGCGUCUCUAAUUAUAAAGGGUGUGGCUCGACCAUCCAGCGUUUCUAAUUAUAAAGGGUGUGGCUAGACCAUCCAGCACCUCUAAUUAUAAAAGGUGUGGAUCGACCAUCCAGCGUCUCUAAUUAUAAAGGGUGUGGGUCGACCAUCCAGCGUCUCCUAAUUAUAAAGGGUGUGGGUCAACCAUCCAGCAUCUCCUAAUUAUAAAGGGUGUGGUGUGAUGUAUUAAAUAAAGAAAGCAAUUUAAAUAGAUAAUAUAUUUAUUUUUUUCACUAAUUAGCACUUUGAAUCAUAAUUUAAGUUUUUACAGAAUCAGCACUUUGAAUCAUAAGUAGAUAUAUUUAUAGAACAUCCCUUUUACCAACAAAAUAUACUUCCACUACCUUGGUCAAAUAAACCAUAUAUAUAAUAACUGUCAAAUAUAAUUAACACAUCUGUUUCUAAUAAUUAAACAAUAUGUACUCUUAAGCCAGAAUAACCCUAAAACAAAGAUUUCUGUAGCUUCCUUUCAGAAUGUCUACAUCUGGAUACUAUUUUUAAUUCAAACAUUAACAUUAACAAAAAUAUUCAUUUACAAUUUCAUCAAUCUGGACAUUGUGUUUACGAUUUGCCAUUUACUGAGCUCAAUUCAUAUAUACGACAGAUUGAAAGAAAGAAACACAUGU